rnacentral:rRNA from 1 species
UACGGAGGGUGCGAGCGUUGUCCGGAAUCACUGGGCGUAAAGGGCGCGUAGGCGGCAUGCCAAGCGUGUGGUGAAAGCCCGGGGCUCAACCCCGGGUCGGCCGUGCGGACUGGCGUGCUCGAGCACUGUAGGGGCGGGUGGAAUUCCGGGUGUAGCGGUGGAAUGCGUAGAGAUCCGGAAGAACACCGGUGGCGAAGGCGGCCCGCUGGGCAGGAAGGCCUCGUAAGGGGCCGGCUGACGCUGAGGCGCGACAGCGUGGGGAGCAAACGG